UGCAUCGAACUGCUUCCCUCACUUUCGAUCAAUUGUUGCUCCGCGAGCUAAACGCUGGAUGCAAGACGUGGGUUCCUGUGUUGCAUACCUAUUGCGACGGAAAUGUGUGCCUUCGGUCGUCCCUUCCAUCACGACGUCCUCUCGGAUGCUCGGUUGGACCGGAUAGUGGGGCUCGUGUUCCACGAACGUCGUCUCGUUCGAUCGUUCGGAUGGGCCACGAGUUUCUACUCGUUCUCUCGGAUGCGGAACUCUCACAAUGGGUGUGGGGUCAUUGGCCCUUGUUCCCUAAUCGUUAAGCGUUUAUCGCUUCACCGGAAUGACGAUCUUGCCUUGUCCUUGACCACGCGAAGCCCUCGGGCAUCGCGAUGGAUCAUGCUCGGCGGACGUCGUGAAGGAAUGC
rnacentral:misc_RNA from 1 species